AGGUAAGAUCUGAACCCAGGACCUUCUACCUCUAGGCUUGGCUCUCAAUCCACUGAGCCACUUAGCCGCCCCUGUAGGCACUAAAUAUUGAGGCGGUUUAGGAAAGGUCUUUUGUAGAAAGUGAGACUUUAGUGGAGAUUUGAAGAAUGUCAGGAAAGCUAGGAGGCAGAGAUGAGGAGGGAGAUAAUUCCAAGCAUGGGGGACCCAGGCAGAGAGAAUGCAGGAUCAGCUGUUGGAAUGUUCUGAGUGAGGAAUAUUCUGGCUGUUUGGCCAGUAUCAUUGGGUCACUGAUGUGUAAGACUGGAAAGGUAGGAAAGAGUCAGAUCAUGAAGGAACUUAACAGCCAAAGAGAACAUUUUAUAUUUGCUCCUGGAGGUAAUAGGGAGCCACUGAAGUUUAUUGGGUAGGGGAGUGGCACGGUCAGUCCUGUGCUUUAGAAAGCUUGAUUUGGUAGCUGAUUGGAGGAUGGGGAAAGCCUGGAGACAGGCAGACCUAUCAGCAUCUCGUGCAAUGAUCCAGGUGUGAGAGAUGAGAGCCCACAUCAGGGUGGUAGCUGUGUUUGAGGACCCAAAGGGGUACCCAGGAGAGAUGUCAUGGAUGGAGAAUCAAGGAGCUUUGGUUGUGGGAGGUAAAGACUCCGGGGGAUCCCUAGGCUGGGAGCCAGGGGGACUGGCUGGACAGUAGUGCCACAGACAGUACCAGAAAGUUGGACUGAAAAGAGGGCUGUUUGGGGAAAGCUAAGGGCUUCAGUUUUGGCCAUGUCGAGUUUGAGAUGCUUUUAGAGAAGGCAGAAAUGGCACUAAAUCGAACAGAGAUGGGAAAGAAACUAGAUUAGACCAAAUGUUCCUAGAGCAGUGAGCAGCGGCAUGGCACAGUGCAUAGAGAGCCAGGUCUAGUCAGGAAGACUCAUCCUGAGUUUAAAUCCAGCCUCAGACACUGCCUAAGUGGGUGACCCUGGGCAAGUACUCAGCCCUGUUUGCCUCAGUUUCCUCAUCUGUACAAAGGGCUGGAGAAGAAAAGGGCAGAGCACUUCAGUAUUUCUGCCAAGAAAACAGCGAAUGGGAGCACAAAGAACAAUGACAACACUUCGAUGCAAACUAUCCAUAUGGCCACAGGAAUUCUGGAAUCAGCUGCAUUGACCCAAAUGAAGAGUUCUUUGUUGAAACCAGAAUUGGAGCCAAGGAAGUACAAGGACUCUCUGCCCCAUGAUCCCACUCUGUCUAUCCGAGUGUGCAGAAGGCAUCAUUUCUUCCUGAGAUCAGUGAACCACACUACAGGCAGCCCGGGCUGAAAAUGGAGUUUGAUUUCCCGUCUCCGGACUUUGUCUAAAGAACUUGUCUCCUUUGUCCAGGGAUUCGACCUCGGUUCCUCCAUCUCCUUAACCAUCCAGCAGCCAGCCGUGGUGGAAAUGGAGGGCCGUGUGCAAAUAAAUAAAUAAAUACACACAUACACACAUACAUAGAAACUCAAUCAAUUUCUCCCUUGCUUCC